rnacentral:rRNA from 1 species
AGCGAACGCUGGCGGCAGGCUUAACACAUGCAAGUCGAACGCCCCGCAAGGGGAGUGGCAGACGGGUGAGUAACACGUGGGAACGUACCCUUUGGUUCGGAAUAACUUGGGGAAACUCAAGCUAAUACCGGAUAAGCCCUUAUGGGGAAAGGUUUACUGCCGAAGGAUCGGCCCGCGUCUGAUUAGCUAGUUGGUGAGGUAAUGGCUCACCAAGGCGACGAUCAGUAGCUGGCCUGAGAGGAUGAUCAGCCACACUGGGACUGAGACGCGGCCCUGACUCCUACGGGAGGCAGCAGUGGGGAAUAUUGGACAAUGGGGGCAACCCUGAUCCAGCCAUGCCGCGUGAGUGAUGAAGGCCUUAGGGUUGUAAAGCUCUUUUACCCGGGACGAUAAUGACUGUACCGGGAGAAUAAGCCCCGGCUAACUUCGUGCCAGCAGCCGCCGUAA